rnacentral:sRNA from 1 species
CAGAUUUCAGAAAGGGCUCUUUUGCUUUUUCCUGGCUUCUAAAAGUGGCCUUGACUGGCUUUGUCUUUCUCUCAGGAGUUGGGCUGUUCCUACACAGAUGUUGCUGCUCAGGAUGGUGAAGCCAUGCUCCGGGAAAUCUUGGCCUCUCAGCAGCCUGACCGAUGCAAACGAGCCCAGGCCUUCAUCAGCACACAGGGCCUUAAGCCAGAUACUGUGGCUGAACUCGUGGCAGAAGAGGUGACACGGGAGCUGCUUACUUCAUCACAGGGAACAGGACAUAAGCAGAUGUUCAACCCAACAGAGGAAAGCCAGACAUUUCUUCAGCUGACCACUCUGUGUCAAGACCGCACAUUGGUAGGCAUGAAGUUGUUGGAUAAGAUUUCCUCCGUUCCCCAUGGGGAACUGUCUUGCACCACAGAGCUCCUGAUCCUGGCCCAUCAUUGCUUCACCCUGACGUGCCACAUGGAGGGCAUCAUCCGAGUCCUACAGGCCGCCCAGAUGCUCACAGAUAACCACCU